AAUGGUAAUGGAUGCAGCAGGUCCACAUUUCUUUCAGGAUGAUGUGGAGGAGCCUUCAAAUUGAUCAGCUCAGAAAUUGUAUUACAUGUUACAAGCUGCUAAUAAGGAGGUCUUGCCAGGUUGUGAAAACCAUUCACAAUUGUCAGUUGUAGCAAGGAUGUUGAAUAUAAAGGUAGAACAUCAUUUGUUAGAAAAUUGUUUUGAUGACAUAUGCCAACUAAUGAAAUAGGUGUUACCAAUUGAUAAUAUAAUGACUAAAUACUUUUAUAGUACAAAGAAAUUGGUUCAAGCCUUGGGCCUGCUAGUCAAGAAGAUUCAU
rnacentral:misc_RNA from 1 species